CUUGGAUGUGGAUAUCUUUAUUUGAUGCCUUUUCUCUUCAAGAUAAUAUAAUUGUGCAUCUGUGUGUUGCUUGAUUCAAAAUGUCCAAGGGAAUUCUGGGUUUCUAUUGACAUUCUUGUCUAUUAGAUUGUUGCCCAUUGGUCAGAUCUUUUCAAUUCUUAACUUUAAGUUUUUUGCAUAGGAUUAGUCUUUUCAUGUUCUCCCCAUUUCUUCAAUUUCAAAAUCUCUCCCUCCCUUUUCAAAAUCUUCUUUGAUUGAACUUAUUUUAUUCUAAACUCUGACCACUUUGCAAAAAGAUAGAAACUUUGGCCUUAUGCCAUUGCACUUUCAAACUUCUUUUCUUAAAUCAAAUUUGUAAAUAAACUUAACUAUACUUGACUUAAACUUUCAGAAAAGCAAAAAAAAACUAACUCAUUCAAAC
rnacentral:lncRNA from 1 species